rnacentral:misc_RNA from 1 species
AGAGCAUUGAAUAAGAUAUUGCAGGUAACCUGUUUCUAUCCCUUCUUAUACUAGACCUAUAUAUUGCUAACUUGAAUCUAUUAAGAAUUAAAAUUUGUCAAAUGUGGCUUGGCAUGAACUUAUCAUAAUUCAAAUGGAAAUUUAUGUUAAGUUGAAGGGAAAGAUAUGGUGGCAGUUAUAUAACUAGGAAAGUUAUUUACGAUUGAUUUCCCAAGAAUGCAUUUGCAUUUUUGGAGAAUCUGUUUACAUAAAUGAAUUCUAUAUUUUGUUCAUUUGGAAAUUGAAUGAAUUACUUCAUCAUUCUGCUGCAAACAUGUUAUUGAGAUUGUUUUGACUGCCAUCCUUAGUGUUGAGAUUAAUGCCCUGUCGUCCUCCAGUUUAGUAACAUGAUUUGAUAUUAUUAUUGUUGUUGAUGUUGUAGCUGUUGUAUUUUUAAUAAUAAUUAUAUGGUUUACAUGAUUGAUUGUCAAUAUUGCUUUAAAAAAAAUUAAAGAAAACAGUUUCUAAUUCUGAUAGAGUUAGGGACCUGUGUAAAUAAAGAGAUGAAGAAUAUAGGAGAAAAUGUAAUACUCUUGUAUUGAAUAAAAUGGCAGAAUGCCUUUGUUCUCAAAUUCAAAUACUGUAAUCUACUACUCUCAACCUCAACAAGAAACAACAAGAAUAAAAUUCCUUGGAGACCACCUCCCAAACUAGCCGAGGGCUAGCCCUAGCUACACAGCUGAAAUUUAAGAUAAAACAUCACACUCUUUUCUGUUAAUCCAGCUCAUACUUAUACAGGUCUCAGGUCCCUCAAUUCUAUUUGCAUCUCCAAGUGGCAGCACUCUUGUAAUUCCCUCUAAAAGUAACUUCCCCAAUAACAACCUCCAGCUGCAUACUUCUAGAAUCUUGCCUCUUAACUCCAUGUUCCUCCAUUCUUCUUCCCCUACGUAGCAUACCCUCAAUUGUCUUGGGCCUGGAUCUCCAUUUUCUGGACUUCUAUCAAAUUCACUACUCUAUCAAAUCAUUAGAUGCAUCUGUUGCUUGCAAGGCUAUUAUUGUUAUAUUAUUAAAUUAUUAUGAUGAUGUGAUGCGUGGUGCACUCUCUCUUAAAUUUGGCAAGCUAAUUAUUUCCUUGAUAUAUUCUGCAGCCUGUACGUGACCAUUUCA